AGCGAACGCUGGCGGCAGGCUUAACACAUGCAAGUCGAGCGGGCACUUCGGUGUCAGCGGCAGACGGGUGAGUAACACGUGGGAACGUACCCUUUGGUUCGGAAUAACGCUGGGAAACUAGCGCUAAUACCGGAUACGCCCUUUUGGGGAAAGGCUUGCUGCCGAAGGAUCGGCCCGCGUCUGAUUAGCUUGUUGGUUGGGUAAUGGCCUACCAAGGCUACGAUCAGUAGCUGGUCUGAGAGGAUGAUCAGCCACACUGGGACUGAGACACAGCCCAGACUCCUACGGGAGGGAGCAGUGGGGAAUAUAGGAAAAUGGGCGCAAGCCUGAUCAAGCCAGGGCGCGUGAGUGAUGAAGGCCUUAGGGUUGUAAAGCUCUUUUGUCCGGGACGAUAAUGACGGUACCGGAAGAAUAAGCCCCGGCUAACUUCGUG
rnacentral:rRNA from 1 species